UACGUAGGGUGCGAGCGUUAAUCGGAAUUACUGGGCGUAAAGCGUGCGCAGGCGGUUCGCCAAGUCCGGUGUGAAAUCCCCGGGCUUAACCUGGGAAUUGCGCUUGAAACUAGCGGGCUUGAGUGCGGCAGAGGGGGGUGGAAUUCCACGUGUAGCAGUGAAAUGCGUAGAGAUGUGGAGGAACACCGAUGGCGAAGGCAGCCCCCUGGGUCGACACUGACGCUCAUGCACGAAAGCGUGGGGAGCAAACAGG
rnacentral:rRNA from 1 species